rnacentral:rRNA from 1 species
GUGCCAGCAGCCGCGGUAAUACGUAGGGGGCGAGCGUUGUCCGGAAUUAUUGGGCGUAAAGCGCGCGCAGGCGGUUUUUUAAGUCUGGGGUAUAAGCCCGGGGCUCAACCCUGGGAGGCCCUGGAAACUGGGGAACUGGAGUGCAGGAGAGGGAAGCGGAAUUCCACGUGUAGCGGUGAAAUGCGUAGAGAUGUGGAGGAACACCAGUGGCGAAGGCGGCUUUCUGGCCUGUAACUGACGCUGAGGCGCGAAAGCGUGGGGAGCAAACAGGAUUAGAUACCCUCGUAGUCC